rnacentral:rRNA from 2 species
GUAACGCGUGAGAAUCUGCCUUCAGGUCUGGGACAACCACUGGAAACGGUGGCUAAUACCGGAUGUGCCGAGAGGUGAAAGGUUAACUGCCUGAAGAUGAGCUCGCGUCUGAUUAGCUAGUAGGUAGUGUAAAGGACUACCUAGGCGACGAUCAGUAGCUGGUCUGAGAGGACGAUCAGCCACACUGGGACUGAGACACGGCCCAGACUCCUACGGGAGGCAGCAGUGGGGAAUUUUCCGCAAUGGGCGAAAGCCUGACGGAGCAAUACCGCGUGAGGGAGGAAGGCUCUUGGGUCGUAAACCUCUUUUCUCAGGGAAGAACACAAUGACGGUACCUGAGGAAUAAGCAUCGGCUAACUCCGUGCCAGCAGCCGCGGUAAUACGGAGGAUGCAAGCGUUAUCCGGAAUGAUUGGGCGUAAAGCGUCCGCAGGUGGCUAUGUAAGUCUGCUGUUAAAGAGUCUAGCUCAACUAGAUAAGAGCAGUGGAAACUACAUGGCUAGAGUGCGUUCGGGGCAGAGGGAAUUCCUGGUGUAGCGGUGAAAUGCGUAGAGAUCAGGAAGAACACCGGUGGCGAAGGCGCUCUGCUAGGCCGCAACUGACACUGAGGGACGAAAGCUAGGGGAGCGAAUGGGAUUAGAUA